AUUGAACGCUGGCGGCAGGCCUAACACAUGCAAGUCGAGCGGCAGCGGGAAAGUAGCUUGCUACUUUUGCCGGCGAGCGGCGGACGGGUGAGUAAUGCCUGGGAAAUUGCCCAGUCGAGGGGGAUAACAGUUGGAAACGUCUGCUAAUACCGCAUACGCCCUACGGGGGAAAGCAGGGGACCUUCGGGCCUUGCGCGAUUGGAUAUGCCCAGGUGGGAUUAGCUAGUUGGUGAGGUAAUGGCUCACCAAGGCGACGAUCCCUAGCUGGUCUGAGAGGAUGACCAGCCACACUGGAACUGAGACACGGUCCAGACUCCUACGGGAGGCAGCAGUGGGGAAUAUUGCACAAUGGGGGAAACCCUGAUGCAGCCAUGCCGCGUGUGUGAAGAAGGCCUUCGGGUUGUAAAGCACUUUCAGCGAGGAGGAAAGGUUGAUGCCUAAUACGUAUCAACUGUGACGUUACUCGCAGAAGAAGCACCGGCUAACUCCGUGCCAGCCGCCGCAGUAAGAC
rnacentral:rRNA from 1 species